rnacentral:lncRNA from 1 species
CCAGUAUAUUUGCAAGAAUGUCCCCAGAGAGCUCAAGAGCAAAGCGUUUUCAUGGAUUGAUUCACCUUUUCAACCUCUGCAAAGACGCAAAAAGGAGAAUCUUAAAUUUCUCAGAGGUGACCAUUCCUAUGAGGGAAUUGUGGCUAUAAUGUAGCUUUCAAACUGAAUUGAUGAAGGAAAAGAGGGAGAAGAAACCAGCUGCCUGGAAGACUGACCCUCUGAGAUGCUCUGGAGCCGUGCAGUUGUUCUCACUGGCAGAUCAGUCCUGUCCCUCCAAUAAAAGAGAGGGUGAUCUUGGUGUGAGAUGUUCUCUUUUGAAGUGUGAUCAAAGCUUUGAGCUCAGGGAUUGCUUAGCAAGGUGGAAUUCUUUCUUUCUCUUGAGAGUUUAAAUGACCUCUGUAAUUGAUAGGCAUCGUAGUCACAAAAUGAAGUUUUGAAGUGGAGAAGAUAAAAGGUCACUACCUUGGAAAAUAGUGAGAAUUUCUUUCCUUUGGUGUUGCCUUCAUUUCACACUUGAUAAUUCUGUAAGGUUCUGAUUGUCACCCUGCAGCAGUUUCCAUAUGACUCAGAAAAAGCCCCCAGGCUCUUGCUACCCAGCUUGAGAUCAUUAAAAUGCUUGAGUGAACUUUGGAGUUCCUGUCUGUUGAAUAGAGAUGACACUGACCAGAGAGGGAAACUUACGUAGGAGGUGUGUCUGGGUCAGGCAUCAAAAUGCU